GUGCUUGCUUCAGCAGCACAUAUGCUAAAAUUGGAACAAUACAGAGAUUAGCAUGACCCCUGCAGAAGGAUGACAUGCAAAUUCAUGAAGUGCUCCAUAUUUUU
rnacentral:snRNA from 1 species